UCUCCAGUGGCACAAUCGGUUAGCGCGCCGUACUUAUAAUGCGGAGGUUGUGAGUUCGAGACUCACCUGGGGAA
rnacentral:tRNA from 1 species